UUCCUUAAUCUCUUCAAACUACAGUAUUUCUAGAUGUCUCCUUCAUAGGACCUCCCUUUUUCAACUGUUUCUACCAUUGGAAGUGUUAAAUACAGAGCAUUCAGAAAGUGUUCAGAACCCUUGACUUUUUACACAUUUUGUUACGUUACAGCCUUAUUCUAAAAUGGAUUCAAUCUUCUUCUUUUUUGGUCACAAAAUAUCCUGUAAUGACGAAGCGUGUCGGCAUGGGGUAGGUAGCGUGUCGGCAUGGGGUAGGUAGCGUGUCGGCAUGGGGUAGGUAGCGUGUCGGCAUGGGGUAGGUAGCGUGUCGGCAUGGGGUAGGUAGCGUGUCGGCAUGGGGUAGGUAGCGUGUCGGCAUGGGGUAGGUAACGUGUCGGUAUGGGGUAGCGUGUCGGCAUGGGGUAGCGGGUCGGUAUGGGGUAGGUAGCGUGUCGAUAUGGGGUAGCGUGUCGAUAUUGGGGUAGCGUGUCGGCAUGGGGUAGGUAGCGUGUCUGUAUGGGGUAGCGUGUCGGCAUGGGGUAGCGGGUCGGUAUGGGGUAGGUAGCGUGUCGAUAUGGGGUAGCGUGUCGAUAUUGGGGUAGCGUGUCGGUAUGGGGUAGGUAGCGUGUCUGUAUGGGGUAGCGUGUCGGUAUGGGGUAGCGUGUUGGUAUGGGGUAGGUAGCGUGUCGAUAUUGGGGUAGCGUGUCGGUAUGGGGUAGCGGGUCGGUAUGGGGUAGCGUGUCGGUAUGGGGUAGGUAGCGUGUCGAUAUUGGGGUAGCGGGUCGGUAUGGGGUAGGUAGCGUGUCGAUAUUGGGGUAGCGGGUCGGUAUGGGGUAGGUAGCGUGUCGAUAUUGGGGUAGCGUGUCGGUAUGGGGUAGCGUGUCGGUAUGGGGUAGCGUGUCGGUAUGGGGUAGGUAGCGUGUCGAUAUUGGGGUAGCGGGUCGGUAUGGGGUAGGUAGCGUGUCGAUAUUGGGGUAGUGUGUCGGUGUGGGGUAGCGGGUCGGUAUGGGGUAGCGGGUCGGUAUGGGGUAGCGGGUCGGUAUGGGGUAGCGGGUCGGUAUGGGGUAGCGUGACUGUAUGGGGUAGCGUGUCGGUAUG